rnacentral:lncRNA from 1 species
AAUCACAACAUGUGGCUAGGCAAAUAUACGAACUACACAGUUAACGUAUACCGCGACAUACGACAGUUCCGAGACCGAAAUACAGGACAACAGGGCCUUUUUUAAGGAUUUUCCCGUGGGGGGUAUUUUUUGAAAAGGGACCUUAGAUAAUAUAUUAGAGGGGGAUAGCAAUGGCCGACGGCCACGUGUGUGGCCGACAUACUCCCCCAGAAAAUGUUUUAAAUUUGAACCUUUCAAAUGCCAUUUCCUGCUUUAUGAGCAUCUAAAUUUGCUCUAAAAUUUAUGCUAAUUAUACUUGUAUUUGAAGUAAAAGAAGGAAAAAAUGCAGAAAAAAUAAAAGAAAUAUUAACAAUAAUUUACCAUUACUUAUUAUUAAAGGGGGGAUAGCAAUGGCCGUGGGUCACGUGUGUGGCCGACAUGCCGCGAAUGAAUAGGGAGGUCUCCAGAAAAUUUUUGAAAUUUCAAGCCCAAAAAUGCCAUUUCCUGCCGUCUGAGCAUCUAAAUUUUCUAAAAUUUAUCCUAACUAUACUUGUAUUUGAAAUAAAAGAAGGAAAAAAC